rnacentral:rRNA from 1 species
GACGAACGCUGGCGGCGUGCUUAACACAUGCAAGUCGAACGAAGAGCGAUGGAUGCUUGCUUCUAUCAAUCUUAGUGGCGAACGGGUGAGUAACGCGUAAUCGACCUGCCCUUCAGAGGGGGACAACAGUCGGAAACGACUGCUAAUACCGCAUACGAUCUAAUCUCGGCAUCGAGGAUAGAUGAAAGGUGGCCUCUACAUGUAAGCUAUCACUGAAGGAGGGGAUUGCGUCUGAUUAGCUAGUUGGAGGGGUAACGGCCCACCAAGGCGAUGAUCAGUAGCCGGUCUGAGAGGAGGAACGGCCACAUUGGGACUGGGAAACGGCCCAGACUCCUACGGGAGACAGCAGUGGGGAAUCUUCCGCAAUGGACGAAAGUCGGACGGAGCAACGCCGCGUGAGUGAGGACGGCCUUCGGGUUGUAAAGCUCUGUUAAUCGGGACGAAAGGCCUUCUUGCGAAUAGUGGGAAGGAUUGACGGUACCGGAAGAGAAAGCCACGGCUAACUACGUG